UAACAAUAAAGUUUGAUCUAUAAAGCCAAUAAAUGCAAAAGAAAUUAGGCUGAAGAGAGGUCCUUGUGAAAUACUUUUUUCAAUGUUUCAAUGGAAAACAUUCAGUUAGCAGAACUGCAAUUCUCAACCCUCACCCCUUUACCUUCUCCAGAUAAUAGACUGAGGAUGAUGAAGAGGAGGAGGAGGCAGAACCCCAUGGCUGUUUCUCUGCUGUUGGUGGAGGGAGCUACCUGACAUCCAGGACCAGCCCAGGGCCUGUAGACAGCCCUCUAACUGGGAGGAUAAUGGGAGAAGAACUUCUCACAGACCUCCUCCAUUUAAGUGGGAGAUUCUCUUAUGAAAUCACCUCCACACUAGCACCCUGUUUUCAGUGGCUAUCUGACUGCUAUGCUGUGUCCUUGGGCAGGACAGCACUGAUGUCCUGGGUUAUGUUAUUGGUUUGCUCUGGACCUACAAGUUCUGUGCUUUCUCCAGAGCAGUAAGUGACAUUGCAGUUCACUUCUGUUCAUGUCUGAGUUGCCGUACUUGGAUGUAUUGUCACAACAGUCCCUCAAAGUCAAGUGUUAUGUAGUGAAAACUUGCAAUACAAUAUGACAUAAUAAUGCUCUUAGCACUUGAACCUCUUCAUCUUUUAACGUAUACUCCUCGAUCAUAUUGCUCUACGACACUCAGUAUGAGUUUGUACUGAGAGCCAUGCCAUGGCUACUGGCAUCAACGUUCUGUGCAACCCUGCAUCUUGCUAUUGUGUUCCUGUCCUGGUGCAGGAAGAGUACCACUCCGCAGCAGCAUGGAAGGGGUUCUCCAGACACAGUCUCUUGGGGGGCUUCUCUCCCCCACUCAGCACAACCCUAGAGGGAAGACUAAGAAAAACACACAGUAAGCCCAGAGUCCUCUCUGGGUUAAGGAGAUGGACUCAAUGCCUGGCAGUGUUGUUUAUGUCAUUUUAUAGCAAGCAUUGGAAUGAAAGAGCAAAUAAAGAUCUUUAAGAUAGAGAAUGAAAGACUAAAUGGUAGAUGUUUGAGAACUCCUUUUUAAGUUGCUCUUUCAUUCCUGUCCUGGCUUUGCCUCAUACAGUAUUUGAUAAUCAUCUUUAAACACAGCUCUCUUUCCUCAUGUGCGUUGGGCUUGGAUGGCACUCCUCUCUGUGUUCCCUCCAAUAACACAAAUCUCAACAAGAUGGCUGAUAUGGGAUAUUACAUGGAUGUCAACAUUCAACCAGACUCUGUCCAGGGAAGCAGGUGUGUCAGAGAGAUCCCCCUCAGGAGGACUGUGAGAAUGGACAAACCCUGCACCUUAGAAACAUUCUCUGACUCCUCAUCCCUCAACUCUGAUGUGGAGGUCAGAUCCCAACGGAUCCUUACAUCUUCCUCACAUUCUUUAUUAACAACCUUACUAUCGUGUAAAAUCAUAUUCUACAGCAAGAUUUUGCCCAAUAUGGUUAAGUUAUUCUGAGUUUAGUAUGUGAUCGUAAAAAAAUGUGAACUGUUAAACCAUUUUCUGCCACAAGAUGGUGAUAGUAUGUGAAGGAUGGUUGAAAACUUGUUGCUUUGGAUUCAUCUACACAUCAGGGAAACCUAUUAUUUUCAGUCUUAACACAUUGUAGGCCCUGCCUAUUACCAUGUAAGGAAGGUCAAAUCAAGACCUUUACCCACAAGGUCUUCUGAAGUGCUUUGCUUGCUAACUAAGUAUGUUUAUUUAACGUUACUUCUUUAUGCUCAGGCCUUUCCAUGUCGACUGAUUAUUAUAGUGCAGUGAAAGUCCACUCAAGGGCCAUUUCAUAUGAAUUCGAUCACUUUCUGACUGCACCCCUUUUGAUUUGAACGAAACCUUCCAUACAUGUUUGCCAUGGUAGGAGUGGUCAGAAAAGUGACCUUUUGGACCUGAAUGCCAAAACAUUCAGGAGAUAGAGGUGCUCAAAGUUGACGUAUUUUGCAUACCUACCAUUAGACGUCUGUGUCUUCAUCACUGAAAAAUAUAAUUCAAAUCAAAUCAAACUUUAUUUGUCACAUGCACCGAAUACAAUAAGUGUAGACCUUACCGUGAAAUGCUUACUUACAAGCCCUUAACAGUGCAGUUCAAGAAGAGUUAAGAAAAUAGUUACCAAAUAAACUAAAGUAAAAAAUAAUAAAAAGUAACACAGUAACAUAACGAUAACGAGGCUAUAUACAGGGGGUACCGGUACCGAGUCAGUGUGUGGGGGUACAGGUUAGAGGUCAUUUGUACAUGUAGGUAGGGGUGAAGUGACUGCAUGGAUAAUAAACAGCGAGUAGGUGCAGUGUACAAAACAAAUGGGGGGGUCAAUGUAAUAGUUUUUAACGUUAAAGGUAUAAAAAAACAAGCAGAUUUUUGUUAUAUCAAACUCGUUUAUCUAAAUGUGUAAAGUCAGAUUUGUCUCAUUUUCGCAUAGGUUUUAACUUAGACACGGAUUUAUCUGAAGUUCCAGGCAUAAGCGACAUAAGCAGGUAGCUUAGGGCACCCAGCACACAAACUCAGUCGGGUCUUGUAAGGUCCUGACCAUAGAGAGCCCUUAUUUUCUAUGGUGGAGUAGGUCAAGGCGUGACUGGGUGUUUAGUCUAGUUUAUUAUUUCUAUGUCUCUAAUUGGGGAUCAUAUUUAAGUAGCAUUUUUUCCACCUGUGUUUUGUGGGAUAUUGUUUAUGUGUAGUUGCAUGUUAGCACGUUUAGUCUUUAUUGUUUGUUGUGUGGUUCACUUAUUUCUAAUAAAAGAUG
rnacentral:lncRNA from 1 species